rnacentral:rRNA from 1 species
AGUCGAGCGGAGAUGAGGUGCUUGCACCUUAUCUUGGCGGCGGACGGGUGAGUAAUGCUUAGGAAUCUGCCUAUUAGUGGGGGACAACAUUCCGAAAGGAAUGCUAAUACCGCAUACGUCCUACGGGAGAAAGCAGGGGAUCUUCGGACCUUGCGCUAAUAGAUGAGCCUAAGUCGGAUUAGCUAGUUGGUUGGGUAAAGGCCUACCAAGGCGACGAUCUGUAGCGGGUCUGAGAGGAUGAUCCGCCACACUGGGACUGAGACACGGCCCAGACUCCUACGGGAGGCAGCAGUGGGGAAUAUUGGACAAUGGGGGGAACCCUGAUCCAGCCAUGCCGCGUGUGUGAAGAAGGCCUUAUGGUUGUAAAGCACUUUAAGCGAGGAGGAGGCUACUGAGACUAAUACUCUUGGAUAGUGGACGUUACUCGCAGAAUAAGCACCGGCUAACUCUGUGCCAGCAGCCGCGGUAAUACAGAGGGUGCGAGCGUUAAUCGGAUUUACUGGGCGUAAAGCGUGCGUAGGCGGCUUUUUAAGUCGGAUGUGAAAUCCCCGAGCUUAACUUGGGAAUUGCAUUCGAUACUGGGAAGCUAGAGUAUGGGAGAGGAUGGUAGAAUUCCAGGUGUAGCGGUGAAAUGCGUAGAGAUCUGGAGGAAUACCGAUGGCGAAGGCAGCCAUCUGGCCUAAUACUGACGCUGACGUACGAAAGCAUGGGGAGCAAACAGGAUUAGAUACCCUGGUAGUCCAUGCCGUAACGAUGCCUACUAGCCGUUGGGGCCUUUGAGGCUUUAGUGGCGCAGCUAACGCGAUAGUAGACGCCUGGGGAGUACGGUCGCA